AACGAACGCUGGCGGAGGAAAAGAGACAUGCAAGUCGAACGCCCUCUUCGGAGGGAGUGGCAGACGGGUGAGUAACGCGUGGGAACCUACCUAGUAGUACGGAAUAACUCAGGGAAACUUGUGCUAAUACCGUAUACGCCCUUCGGGGGAAAGAUUUAUCGCUAUUAGAUGGGCCCGCGUUGGAUUAGGUAGUUGGUGGGGUAAAAGCCUACCAAGCCGACGAUCCAUAGCUGGUUUGAAAGGAUGAUCAGCAACACUGGGACUGAGACACGGCCCAGACUCCUACGGGAGGCAGCAGUGGGGAAUCUUAGACAAUGGGGGGAACCCUGAUCUAGCCAUGCCGCGUGAGUGACGAAGGCCCUAGGGUCGUAAAGCUCUUUCGCCAGGGAAGAUAAUGACGGUACCUGGUAAAGAAACCCCGGCUAACUCCGUGCCAGCAGCCGCGGUAAUACGGAGGGGGUUAGCGUUGUUCGGAAUUACUGGGCGUAAAGCGCACGUAGGCGGACUAUUAAGUUAGGGGUGAAAUCCCAGGGCUCAACCCUGGAACUGCCUCUAAUACUGGUAGUCUUGAGUUCGAGAGAGGUGAGUGGAAUUUCCGAGUGUAGAGGUGAAAAUUCGUAGAUAUUUCGGAGGAACACCCAGUGGGCGAAGGCGGCUCACUGGCUUCGAUACUGAACGCUGAGGUGCGAAAGCGUUGGGGGAGCAAACAGGGAUUUAGGAUACCCCCUGGUUAGUCCCACCGCCCGUUAAAACGAUGAAAUUGCCCAGA
rnacentral:rRNA from 1 species